rnacentral:rRNA from 4 species
UGCGGUAGGAUCAUUG